GAGCAUUCAGAACAGCUUCUUGAAGGACUAGUUAAAGAGACAAUGGCAAAGAAAAUCUUCCUUUGGCUCUUACCGGAGCCAAGGUUUAAUUAUGAUGAGAAAACUGAAGUUCAAAGAAUUAUCUUGUUCAUAUUACUAGUAUUAUAUAUGGAAUUUGAACAGAGGUCUUCUUGAAUUCAAGUUCAACACUCCAUCCACUAUGCCAUGUUGAUGGAGCCCAUCAAUUGCCUCUGGCCAUUCUGAAGGAUCUAUAUUGUAGAGCAUCAGCAAUACGCUCCAUCUGGUCAUUUGGUCCAUAAUAUAUUCUCAUUGCAAUAUUA